rnacentral:rRNA from 1 species
UACGUAGGGUGCGAGCGUUGUCCGGAAUUAUUGGGCGUAAAGGGCUCGUAGGCGGUUUGUCGCGUCGGGAGUGAAAACACACAGCUUAACUGUGUGCUUGCUUCCGAUACGGGCAGACUAGAGGUAUGCAGGGGAGAACGGAAUUCCUGGUGUAGCGGUGAAAUGCGGCAGAUAUCAGGAGGAACACCGGUGGCGAAGGCGGUUCUCUGGGCAUUACCUGACGCUGAGGAGCGAAAGUGUGGGGAGCGAACAGG